GACGAACCGUGCGAACGUUAUUCGGAAUCACUGGGCUUAAAGCGCGUGUAGGCGGGCCAUCACGUCGGUCGCUGAAAGCCCCCGGCUCAACCGGGGAACCGGCGCCGAUACGAGUGGCCUGGAGGGGGGUAGGGGGACCUGGAACUUCCGGUGGAGCGGUGAAAUGCGUUGAGAUCGGAAGGAACGCCCGUGGCGAAAGCGGCUCACUGGUCCAUUACUGACGCUGAGGUGCGAAAGCGUGGGGAGCAAACAGG
rnacentral:rRNA from 1 species